rnacentral:rRNA from 1 species
UUGACCUCGGAUCAGGUAGGGAUACCCGCUGAACUUAAGCAUAUCAAUAAGCGGAGGAAAAGAAACCAACAGGGAUUGCCCUAGUAACGGCGAGUGAAGCGGCAAUAGCUCAAAUUUGAAAGCUGGCCUUUGGUCCGCAUUGUAAUUUGUAGAGGAUGCUUUUAGGCAGCCGCCGGUCUAAGUUCCUUGGAACAGGACGUCAUAGAGGGUGAGAAUCCCGUAUGUGACCGGCUCAGGCACCUUCUGUAAAGCUCCUUCGACGAGUCGAGUUGUUUGGGAAUGCAGCUCUAAAUGGGAGGUAAAUUUCUUCUAAAGCUAAAUACUGGCGAGAGACCGAUAGCGCACAAGUAGAGUGAUCGAAAGAUGAAAAGUACUUUGGAAAGAGAGUUAAAAAGCACGUGAAAUUGUUGAAAGGGAAGCGCUUGCAAUCAGACUUGGCCUCGGUUGUUCAACCGGUCUUUUGACCGGCCUAUUCAAUCGGGGGCAGGCCAGCAUCAGUUUCGGCGGCCGGAUAAAGGCCUUGGGAAUGUGGCCUUCCCUUCGGGGGAGGUGUUAUAGCCCAGGGUGUAAUACGGUCAGCUGGGACUGAGGUCCGCGCUUCGGCUAGGA